UACGAAGGGGGCUAGCGUUGCUCGGAAUCACUGGGCGUAAAGCGCACGUAGGCGGCUUCUUAAGUCAGGGGUGAAAUCCUGGAGCUCAACUCCAGAACUGCCUUUGAUACUGAGAGCUUGAGUUCGGGAGAGGUGAGUGGAACUGCGAGUGUAGAGGUGAAAUUCGUAGAUAUUCGCAAGAACACCAGUGGCGAAGGCGGCUCACUGGCCCGAUACUGACGCUGAGGUGCGAAAGCGUGGGGAGCAAACAGG
rnacentral:rRNA from 1 species